UCGUUGGCUCCUUGGCACCAUGGUUGCCCCUGAGCUCAUGGUCCUUCUCCCCUUCAGUGGGCAUGGCUUCAUCCAGACUGCGUUCCUGGCUGGCAGACCUGCUCCGGGAGGCUGAAGAGGACUCCUUGCCUUCUGUCCUGACGCGGCGAUGCCGGCUGCGCCGUUGGCUCUGCCUGUGCCUGGCCCGGUCCUCAAAGGUCACCACAGCCUCUCCUCCCCCUGCCUCCUGCUGAGUCGGGUCACAGUUUCCAUGACAGGGCCUGGCCAGCCACGGUGGCUCCCGCUGGCCCAGGGACAAAGGGGUCCUCUGGUUGUCCAGGGCACUGGAUCGGUCCCCUCCAUCCCCCUUGAGGGACCCCCCACGGCUGAUGCGCUCCUCCUUCUAACUUUUUCAGGGCCAGGCCCAGGGCCAGGCCCUCAAUGGCCCUGGGUCGCCGAUAAAGGCUGGGGUGGGCAUUGAGCGGGUUGAGGGAGCUGAGCGGGUUGAGGGGGUUGAGCGGGUUCUUGGUCCGUGCCUCCUCUCUGUUGAGGUCCUCCUGGCUGGACAUCUGCAUGUGCUUCCUCAGCUGGCUUGGUACGCUGCUCCCAC
rnacentral:lncRNA from 1 species